GUCUUUUGUUCGAGCCUGUAUAUUGACCUCUAGAUAUCUUUCAAUUACAUCCAGUUUGGUGUGUGUUGAUGUUUGAUAGUUGUAAAUAUAAGGAAAUAGUAACCGAAUAAGGAAAUGAAAAUUUAAUAAGGAAAAAGAAAUCAAAUAAGGAAACAGAAACCUAAUAAGGAAAAAGAAACCGAAUAAGGAAAUAGAAACCGGAUAAGGUAGCACUCCACAGUUAGAUGUGUAGUUUCGCAUUUUUGCCCCUGUGAAUUUUUCAAAUAUGAGAGCUAGUGUGCAAUAAAAUUCAUUUUUUGGAUAGCUGAGUAUUAAAAUAAUCUUUGUAUUGGGUUUAUAUGAACAUCAAGGUUAUGUAAUGUAUCUAAUAUAGGCUGUUUUCUGUAUGACAGUCCGUAUUUGCAUGUCCUUACCAUACACUGGUCCGGCAAUUAUUGCAAUGUUUUUUUCCAACUUUUUAUCGCACGAACUUUGUGAUUGGAUUUUACGAAAAAAUGAGACGAAAGACACCCAUUUUUUAUUUGAUCAUUAGGAAGAUUUAGGGAAACAGUUUCUGAAAAGGUAUCACUCAAAGGCAUUGAAAUUCUAGUUUGAUCCAAAUUUUUGGGUGAAAUGUGACAUGUUCACCCCCCUUUUUGCAAUAUUUUAUGGGAAAUAAAUGCAGAAUGUUGCCAUGGAUACACAUAAAAGGAAUUAAUUUUCACCCUUUUCACUUUUCAAAAUCAAAUCUAUGGAAGAUACUGAUUACAUACAUAUGCACAUGUACAACACAAACAGUUACGUUAAUGUAUUAGAAAUCCAGGAAUAGGAGAUGAUAAAACAUUUUGUGGCUCAUUUUUAAUUUUAUUUUUUAACUGUGGAGUGCUACCUAAGGAAAUAGAAACCGAAUAUGGAAAUAGAAACCGAAUAAGGAAACAGAAAUCGAAUAAGGAAAUGGAAAUCGAAUAAGCAAAUGAAAAUCCAAUAAGGAAAUAGAAACCGAAUAAGGAAAUAGAAACCGAAAAAGGAAAUGAAUAUUGAAAAAGGAAAAAGAAACCGAAUAAGGAAAUGAAAAUCGAAUUAGGAAAUGGAAAUCGAAUAAGGAAAUAGACACCGAAUAAGGAAAUGAAAAUCGAAUAUGGAAAAAGAAACCGAAUAAGGAAACGAAAAAAAAAAUUUGAAAAACUUUUUGAGGAAAAAAAAAUUUGAGGAAAAAAAUUUUGAAGGAAAAAAAAAAUUCAGUUUGGACUUGUAAUAUUUUUCAAAAUUUGAAUAUCGAAAAAGGAAAUGGAAACCGAAUAAGGAAAUGAAAAUCCAAUAAGGAAAUGAAAAAUCCAAUAAGGAAAUGAAAACUGAAUAAGGAAAAUAGAAACCGAAAUAAGAAAAAAGAAACGAAUAAGGAAAUGAAAAUCCGAAUAAGGAAAUGAAAAUCCAAUAAGGAAAUAGAAACGAAUAAGGAAAUAGAAACCGAAUAAAAUAGAACCGAAAAGGAAAUGAAUAUUGAAAAAGGAAAAAGAAACCGAAUUAGAAAUGGAAAUCGAAUAAGGAAAUGGAAAUCGAAUAGGAAACGAAAACCAAUAAGGAAAUAGAAACCCAAUAAGGAAAUAGAAACCCAAUAAGGAAAAGAAACCCAAUUAGAAAUAGAAACCGAAAAAGGAAAUGAAACAUUGAAAAGGAAAAAGAAUAAGGAAAAAAACCGAAUAAGGAAACUGAAAAUCAAAUAAGGAAAUGGAAAUCGAAUAAGAGAAACUGUAUAAGGAAAUUAAAAUCGAAUAAGGAAAGAGAAACCGAAUAAGGAAACGAAAAAAAAAAUUUGAAAAACUUUUUGAGGAAAAAAAAAUUUGAGGAAAAAAAAAAUUUUGAGGAAAAAAAUUUUUGAGGAAAAAAAAAUUUUGAGAAAAAAAAAAAUUGAGGAAAAAAAUUUUGAAGGAAAAAAAAAUUCAGUUUGGACUUGUAAUGUUUUUCAAAAUUUGAAUAUCGAAAAAGGAAAUCGAAUAAGGAAAUGAAAGUCCAAUAAGGAAAUGAAAAUCCAAUAAGGAAAUGGAAACUGAAUAAGGAAAUAGAAACCGAAUAAGGAAAAAGAAACCGAAUAAAGAAAUAAGGAAAUCCAAUAAGGAAGGAAAUCCAAUAAGGAAAUGGAAACUGAAUAAGGAAAUAGAAACCGAAUAAGGAAAAAGAAACCGAAAAAGGAAAUGAAUAUUGAAAAAGGAAAAAGAAACCGAAUUAGGAAAUGGAAAUCGAAUAAGGAAAAGGAAAUCGAAUAAGGAAACGAAAAUCCAAUAAGGAAAUAGAAACCCAAUUAGGAAAUAGAAACCCAAUAAGAAAACAGAAACCCAAUAAGGAAAUAGAAACCAAAAAAGGAAAUGAACAUUGAAAAAGGAAAAAGAAACCGAAUAAAGAAAUGGAAAUUGAAUAAGGAAUGGAAUCGAAUAAGGAAAUGAAAAUCCAAUAAGGAAAUAGAAACCGAAUAAGGAAAUAGAAACCGAAUAAGGAAAUAGAAACCGAAAAAGGAAAUGAACAUUGAAAAAGGAAAAAGAAACCGAAUAAGGAAAUGAAAAUCAAAUAAGGAAAUGGAAAUCGAAUAAGG
rnacentral:lncRNA from 1 species